rnacentral:rRNA from 1 species
CAAUAGCGUAUAUUAAAGUUGUUGCGGUAAAAAAGCUCGUAGUUGGAUUUCUGUUGAGAGCGACCGGUCCAUACCAUGUAUGCGUAUCUGGCUUGCUCUCGGCAUCCUCUCGAUAGACGUUACUGCGCUUGAUUGCGUGGUGCGGAUCUCGGGACUUUUACUUUGAGGAAAUUAGAGUGUUCACGGCAGGCUUUCGCCAGAAUACAUUAGCAUGGAAUAAUACUAUAGGAUCUUGGUUCUAUUUUGUUGGUUUCUAGAAUUGAGGUAAUGAUUAAUAGGGACAAUUGGGGGCAUUCGUAUCAACACGUCAGAGGUGGAAUUCUUGGAUUGUGUUGCGACGAACUACUGCGAAAGCAUUUGCCAAGGAUGUUUUCAUUGA